GACAGCUUAUGCGUUCUCAGCAUUCCGCGCCCCUAUGGAAGGUCCAACGUCCAUAUAGGUAGUGGUCUCCCGGUCGUGAUUGUGUGAAUACUCGUUCCUUAAUUAAGUGCUUUUGCAUAUCUGAUUACUAUUCCCAGAUACCUCAUAGUGGUGAACCGACUUUGGACAUUAAUUAAGUGCACCUUGAACUAAAACAGCAGUGAAUUAUUAAGUUAUUUUACAUACAAACUCAAGUGAUAAUUGAUGAUCAAACGAACUUCUUGAAGUGAAGUUCGAACGAAUUAAAUGAAAUCUCACAGCUAACACCAUAGUACGCAACGAAGAUCGUUAUAAAAAAAAAUACAAUGUGGUCUUGUGCCGAAGUGUCCGGCAACUAGACCGACGUGUGGACGCUACCACGCACAAAUAAAGAAUGAACAGCAGAACGGCCGCCACAUCGGCGUAAGCCACAACCAGACGGAAGCUAAUAGGAGAAUGCGUAACCUUGCGCGUGAUAAUAUUCCGGAGGACACGUUGAUCUAUUUUUGGCAAAGUAAUCUACCAUCAUCGGUCGCGGUCGAUUAUUUCACUUUCGAUUGUCGCUGUUCAACAAUUGUCACUUGGCUAGGCCCCUGAUACCAAUACACAGCUGAAACGUUUAUCAACUGUUAUGACUGUUAUAUAGUACACUUAGUACAUAGCGCACGGUGCAGUGUUAUUUGCCCAAACUUUUUUAUAUGCAAUGUAUACUUUUGCCUUUGACUUAGUACACUAAUUUGUAUAUGUAGUAAUUAAGACCGAGACGGGAAAGAUUCUCUGAUCUCUGUUUAAUUAAUAAACCUACACCUCAUUGUAAUCGAUGUAAAGUGCAGUUCAACAGAAAUUACAAAUAAUCUAAACAAAUAUGACAGAUUUUGUUAGCAUUUGACGUAUACGCUAAAAGUUUUACGAUGGAUAUUUUCAGUGAAAUAUUAAUAAUUGACGUAUAUUUUAACUAGUGAUUGAUAUAAAUAAAAGAGAGGUACGUACACUUACAUAAAAUGGAGUUCAAUAGAAAUGAAAAAUAAUGUAAACAAACUAAUUUACCUCCAUUUUUAAUCGUAAGCGUAAUCUCGCACUUUUUAUGGACAACCAUGAUUUUAUCGGCAGUUUAUACACCUGUCUUUUACUUUAUGUACGUGUUUAGGUAAGUGUAUCGUUUUGAGAAAUGUUACUUAGUCGAGUGUAUAACCCCGGUUCUCCUUGAGACAAAUGUUUUUCCUUACGAAACGCUAGCAGUUCUUGAUAAACGUAUGCAGGGUUAGAUGCCCCAAAUUAGAGAACUCGGUUUUGACUUUGGCUUAGUGAUAUGAUAAAUACACAAUUUAAGUAGGUAUUGUCAUAACGUGCAUUCAUAACGCAGUAAAUUUUCGUGAAACACUGAAACACGAUGUUAUUAGGUAACUUACCUAAUUACUUACUGUUGAACAGUGGUGCUGCACUAUAGUUUAUUACGAUGGGAAUGCACCUUUACCCGCUAAUCAUCGUUUGUCCCUUUCCGACGUAUUGGUACGAUGGAAAGGGACAAACGAUGAUUAGCGGCAUCGUAACUUUAGUACACGUUUAUGAAUAAGGGGGUUAGAAUUUAAGCGCUAUUCAUUAUCAACAAUCUAUUUAUACUCGUAUAUCCAUUUAUAAAUAAAUGUAACUGCAACCGGCAAAACGUCCCACUCUGUCACUUGCUAUAAGGACGAGAUUUGGGCGACAUUAUGGCAAACGACAAAGUGGGAUGUUUUGCCGGCAGCGGUCGGAAAUACGCUUUUAUCUUUUUAGUGCAUUUAUAUUGGUAGUGAUGUUCUGUAGACGAAAUAUUGUGUGUGCAGAGUGAUUAUAUGUAGGACUUUAAACUUAUAUGAAAUAAAAGUAGUGUGACAUCAAUCAAGUUAUUUUAUUUUUCAAAUUAUUUUUCAUAUGAAAUGAAAAUGAGAUUAAGCAAAUCAGAAUAAUGUUUUAUAGUUUUUUUUAUGAUAUAGGAAGCAAAUUAACAGAUGAAUCCUCUGAUGAUAAGCAAUUACCUGCAGGGCAAUUAGAUAAUAUAAACUAUCCAAUUAAACAAAUAAUAAUGAUCACCUGCAAUUCGGUAGUAUAAAAUACAUUAAUACUAUUUACAGUAAUAUUCGAACCAACCAAAGCAGGCGGUCGUUUCCUUCACUACAGAGGCUACAAGUACUACCAGAACACUCAAAAGGGGCCGAAGACCAGAUGGAUUUGUGUGAAACACAAGAAACACUGUACUGCGACUCUGUAUACUGUGGAAGAUGAUGUAGUGAGAUGGAAAGAUACUCACAAUCAUGGUAUCUAUGAGCUUGUGUUCCUGCCAUCGCGACUAGGCUCCCUAGUCCUAUAUCACUCGGGUUUCAAGUACCACCGCCAAUACAUCAGGGCCGGCAAGACCCGCUGGCAUUGCGUCCGACGCAAGAAAGCCUGCCUUGGGUCCGUGACCACCAUCGAGAAUAGGGUGUGGAGUAGGCAGAUCUAUCAUAACCAUCCGCCAGAAGCAUUUCAUGAACUUAUGACGUAUUUUAAGGAAAGAAUUAAGAAAGAAAAUAAUCAAAUUUAAACUACACAAGACGUAACCACGACUACAGUGUUUUUGAUUGUAUAAAGUAUUACGUUAAAUAAAAAUAUAAUAUGACAAAAGCCAUUAUACAUUUGUAUGACACCGACAUUUUUAAGCCACUGUGUCUACUUGAAUUAAAAUUAGAAAAUUAAUUUAAGCUCUCUAUUUUCUUUAUAUAAAAAGUAUAUUAAGUUUCUUCUUGGUUUUAACAAUAUUUUGGCCUAAGAGUUCAUUUUAUUUGAUUAUUUUAUUUUUGUGUAAUUUUUCACGUUCUUUCAAUCUAUUAAAAGUAAAUCAUAAUAAUAAUAAAAAUCUCUAUUUCAGAAUAUUGAAAUUCCAUAAAAUAUUAUUGGAAUCAUUAACGCUAUAUGUUAGUGAGUACAUAAAAAAAAAAUCAUAACAUUAUAUAAAUACACAAUAUAUAGAUAUAUACAGAGGUAUAACUAGCUUAAAUCUAAAAUAGGCCCUUGAGAUAUUGUGCUAAGGAUGUUCGCGGCAUUUCUUCGGUGUAUCGCAAUGCUGAUACGUUGUGCGAGGAAGCCACCAGCUCUUCGGUCAUCAGUCUCUAAAAUUAGAAUAAUAAAAUGCUGGAUUUUUAUAAUCAUUUCUGAUCGGAAUUUAAACUGAUUUAGAAAAUAAAGAUUUUGGAGAGAAAGAUGAGAGUAGUCAUCUACAAUAAUAUUGUACAUUUCUAUUUUUGUUUUUAGACUUUACAGUCUUACAGUUAGAAGCGCAAGAAAUUAUUUUGAUUGGUUCAGUAGAUUUUGAGUUUAUCGCGAACAUACUAAUUGAGAAAUACCGAAACACCGCGAGAUUUUUCGCCAACUUUGGCCACGUCAAACGCUGCGAUCGUUCUUUUUUUCCAUCCAAGCCCUCUAGUCUGCACCCGGCCAAUACGCCACGUUUAGCUAAGCUACAAUGUAAAGACAGGGACAUAAAUCGUUAAGUGUCGUACUAAAUUGUGGUUCUACACUCUUAUUCUCCUCCUUCAAUUGCAUUUUCCUAACAGAGGGAUGCGAAGACUGUGGAGGUGUGGAAACUCUUCACUUACGAUCUCCGAGCCGCUCGAUCUUGGGAUCAUGGCUAGCCUGUAAUCGCACUUUAAUGGCUGAUAUAAUUAUGUCCAUUCAACAUAAGAGUUGAAUAUAACUCAGAAAUCAUUGUACUUCAGGCGCCAUAUUUUCUCUGUCUACUCGUGACGCGCGCUCCCUCUGCUUCGGUGGUUAACGUAUGUGCUUCAAUGUAACCAUGGCGUUAUGGUAUGCUGGCGCUGCGCCACACACAAUCGUUUUUGCUUCAAAGGUGCCUUAUUCACUGUUGACAAUCACAUCGUCAAAGAAAACCAUCCGCCGCCGCCGCCGGAGCCUUUCAGACACGAAGCUUACCGUCGACGGUCGAGUUAAAUUUAAACAAUUGUACAAUUAGUUAGGUAAGAAAUAUCGUCUUCUUUUUUUUACUGGUUGAGAUGUGUAUACUAUUUUUCUGAUCGACGACAAUGUUUAGCGCAGCGUGUCGAAAGUUGACGCUGCAUGGAGAACAGAAAAUUCAGACUUCAACAUUUCGUAGGAUCACAGAUCUUUUGUCAUGUAUGUUUCCCGGUUUGGGCAAUUUUGUUUUUGUUAGGAUCUUGGAGAAAUCGACGACCUUGUAAGUGAUUUUAGUAAAAUUUAUAAGUAGUUAAGUUACACGAGUAUGUAAAUUUACUGUUUCAACUUCAUUACUUAUGUAAAUGUAACUUUUUUUGUUUGUUUUAAUAAUAGUUUCAGUUUAAUGUACAUAACAGAAAUUAACUGUUUAAACUUGUUAUACUUUUCUUAUUUUUUGACAGAUCUGAUUAAUUAUUUUAGAAAUUAUAUAGAGGAUAUUCACAGUCAAUUGCCAUAGAAAUAAUCCAUUUAGUCAUUUUCGAUUUACAGCACUUCAAAGUCAACUCUAGAUUGUGACUUUGGUUAGAAUCAUUCAUUUAUUAAUUUAGAAUGAUUUAUUUAUUUAUAUUGUGUAUUACAGGUAAUGAAUACAGAUGUUUUGAAAGUUUUCUAAUAAUUUUUUGUACCAAGUAGUGAAAAUAUUACAGUAUGUUAUAUAUUUCGUGAUCUAUUCACAGAGCCCUUUCAUUGGUACCCCACAUGGUAUGUUUAAAAGAAAAAAAAGUUUGUACUGCCGCCUUUAUGAGCACAGCAACUACCCCUACGAUUUUCGUGCUUGUCAUCUCAUAUAUUUGUGUUCAAGACAUUAUAUUGAAUGCAUUAAUUUCAUAUUUACCCAUAUCCGAGAUGACAUGAACAAAAAGUAGCCUCAAACCUGUUAAGUCGCCCUACUAUAUCUCCUCUUGUCAAAACAUGACCAUUGUCUUAUCGACGUUUUUUUUUACUAUUUACUGUUCUACUUUUUAUAGAGGUGGUAAAGGUUUUCUUUUUUUAGGUCCUAUAUUUAUGACGUCAUCCCGCGGAGCGCGCACACUCUUCUUCGGUGGUUACCGCUAUAUCAGGCACCGUGAAACCGGCGUUAAGGUGCGUUGGAAGUGCGCUACACACCAACGAUUCAAUUGCAAGGGCGCCCUGGUUACCUCUGAGGAUCAAGUCGUGAAGAUCAAUGACGCCCACGACCAUCCGCCGACACAGAUGAGAAUCGUGCAAUUACUUACGCGCGCUUCAGCACAGAAAAAAAAAAGUUCUCCAGCCAAGUAAAUACUCUUGUGUCAAGACAUUUUGUGUUUCCUAUAUAAGGAAACAAUAAAAUUCUUGCGUCAAGAUAUAAAAUAUUUCAAAGUUUAUUAUUUAAGCUAAAAAAUUAAAUUCUCUUUCCGAGUCAUAAAAAGUUUUUUUUUAAAAAGCUCAUUAUUCUCACCAAGAGCGUUUACGUUUUGUUUUAAGUAUUGUAUUUUUUAAAUUGAACCUAACUGUCUUAUUGCAAUACUUAAAGAACUUGUGCCAAGAAACUUUGUUUCUUGGGGUUAGAUAGUCAUAAUUGAAUUGAGAAUUAUAUUUCUCCAUAAAAACAAGAAAAAGUAUUGGUUCAAGAGUGCGUUACUCAAUGUGAAAUAUGAUAUUAUUUAUAUCUAGAGCUGAAAUCUCUUAGCGCCAAGUUUAGUAUGUCUUGAAUAAAGAAUGAAUUUUCUUAAACCAGCAUGGUUUUCGUCAUUCGUUGAAAUCUUUGUAGUUUUCAAUAAUCCUCUUUAUCUUCUUCUUCCUCGCGUUGUCCCGGCAUUUUGCCACGGCUCAUGGGAGCCUGGGGUCCGCUUGGAAACUAAUCCCGAGAAUUGGCGUAGGCACUAGUUAAACUAGAGACCUUAUUGGGAUUAGCCCGGUUACCUCACGAUGUUUUUCUUCUUCACCAAAAAGCGACUGGUGAAUAUCAAAUGUACGUACAGAAGUUCCGAAAAACUCAUAAUGUACGAGCCGGGGUUUGAACCCGCGACCUCCGGAUUGCAAGUCAUACGCUCUUACCGCUAGGCCACCAGCGCUCUUGUCCCCUUCAUCAAAUUUAUUGAUACUAUUUUAUGUAAAAGUCUCAAACCAAAGUUUUGGUGCUUUUUCUUUUAAAUAGCUUUGGCUCUUGACUGUAUAUUGACAACAUCAAACCAAGAAUUAAUCGCUCUUGCGUAAAAACUUAAGUCUCAAAGCAACAUUUUGGUGUUUCUUCUUUGAAAUAGCUUUGGCUCUUGACUGUAGGUUGAAAACAUCAAACCAAGAAUUUAUCGCUCUUGUCUAAAAACUUAAAGUCUCAAAGGAAAAUUUUGGUGCUUCUUCUUUGAAAUAGCUUUGGCUCUUGACUGUAGGUUGAAAACAUCAAACCAAGAAUUAAUGGCUCUUGUAUAAAAACUUAAAAGUCUCAAACCAAAGUUUUGGUGCUUCUUUUUUAAAAAAGCUUUAGCUCUUGACUGUAAAUUGAAAACAUCAAACCAAGAAUUAAUCGCUCUUGCCUAAAAACUUAAAAGUCUCAAAGGAAAAAUUUGGUGGUUCUUCUUUAGAAUUUGGUAAUAUUUUUGGUUUGAGGUAGAGUUACUCAAGAUAAAACCGUUUUUUAAGAGCGUGCUAUAUCUCUUUCUAAGACUUUUUUUUCUUGCGGCGAAUAAUUAAUAUCUUAACUCAAAUCACUACCAUUCGCUUUAAAAAUGUGUAAAGAUAAAACUAAAUAAUUUUUAUUCUUCUUUUAAAAAUUAUGUUGUUUUUAACUCAAGACAUAUUUAUUGGACUAAGCAAUUUAUUAUUUUAUUUAAGCAACCGUGCGCAAGAGAGUUUUGCGUUUUGAAUUAAGAUAUCUUUUUUAUCUGUGAGCUCAUUCGUAAAGCGUGUUCCGCGGUUGGAAACCAUCGCGAGGGCGGAUGCAUAUAUGUGACCGAAAUGGUGUGUUAUUUCAACUGUUCCGGGGGAAUAUCGAAAUCAUUGUAAGAAAUGGAAAAUUAAAUUUUAGCAUUUAAGAUUAAACUUAUUGUAUGAUGUAUGUUAGUUAAGGUAGGUAUUUUUCUAUGGGCCGUAGUUGCCUGAAAAUAAACUAUAUUCCAUUUUUUUAUGUUUAAACGGUAAUGCGGUAAAGUCACGCCGUUAGCCCUACUUGUUACUGAGGGUAAGGACUGAAGCACAUACUAUUCGUAGUAUUUACCUUUUUUUAUUUAUUCCUAUAACAACUGGUUCUCUGUUAUUUUAACUACCCUUCAUCAGUAAUAUUUCUUGAUGCUUAAUAUUUACAGUAGGUACCUACACGUUUUUAUUCAUAAGACAAGCGUCUCGCACAUGCCCAAACAAAAUAAAAAUAAUAUGAAUUAUUAUAAAUCUACCUAAUUAUAUAUAAUUGCUACUGCAAUGCUAAUCUUAGGUAUAGGUAUUGUGUAACAAAUUAAUUCGAAAGAAAAAUGCGUUAUAAUGCA